rnacentral:rRNA from 1 species
UACAGAGGGUGCAAGCGUUGUUCGGAAUUACUGGGCGUAAAGCGCGUGUAGGCGGUCUGUUAAGUCUCGUGUGAAAGCCCUGGGCUCAACCCAGGAAGUGCGCGAGAUACUGGCGGACUGGAGUGACGGAGAGGAUGGCGGAAUACCCGGUGUAGAGGUGAAAUUCGUAGAUAUCUGGAGGAACACCGGUGGCGAAGGCGGCAUCCUGGACCAAUUCUGACGCUGAGGAGCGAAAGCCAGGGGAGCAAACGGG